rnacentral:pre_miRNA from 1 species
AUGGGGAAGAGGAAGUUAGAGAAGUUCUAAAGACAAUGGGAUUGGGAACAUAUGAGAAAGCACGAGCUCUUUAUUUGCCCGUGGCAUUGGAGAUGAAAAUUCGCUUGCUUUUUUCUCGAUGCCUCCCAUUCCUAUGAUUCUUAGGUUCUCCUUCCUCUUCCUUUUUCUC